UACGGAGGGUGCGAGCGUUGUCCGGAAUCACUGGGCGUAAAGGGCGCGUAGGCGGCUUCUUAAGCGUGCGGUGAAAGCUCGGGGCUCAACUCCGAGUCGGCCGUGCGAACUGGGAAGCUGGAGCACAGUAGAGGCGGGUGGAAUUCCGGGUGUAGCGGUGGAAUGCGUAGAGAUCCGGAAGACACCGGUGGCGAAGGCGGCCGC
rnacentral:rRNA from 1 species